rnacentral:rRNA from 1 species
GAGUUUGAUCAUGGCUCAGAUUGAACGCUGGCGGCAUGCCUUACACAUGCAAGUCGAACGGCAGCAUGAUCUAGCUUGCUAGAUUGAUGGCGAGUGGCGAACGGGUGAGUAAUACAUCGGAACGUGCCCUGUAGUGGGGGAUAACUAGUCGAAAGAUUAGCUAAUACCGCAUACGACCUGAGGGUGAAAGUGGGGGACCGCAAGGCCUCAUGCUAUAGGAGCGGCCGAUGUCUGAUUAGCUAGUUGGUGGGGUAAAGGCCCACCAAGGCGACGAUCAGUAGCUGGUCUGAGAGGACGAUCAGCCACACUGGGACUGAGACACGGCCCAGACUCCUACGGGAGGCAGCAGUGGGGAAUUUUGGACAAUGGGCGAAAGCCUGAUCCAGCAAUGCCGCGUGUGUGAAGAAGGCCUCGGUGU